ensembl:lncRNA
AAAGCUUUCCCCUUUCACUACCUCCAAAUUGAGCAGCUGUUAAUAAUUGUAACUUUUGAGAUAAUUACAGCUCUACUUCAAGUGGUGACAAGGUGUGGAUUGUGGAAAAGGUUGUUUUUCCCAUUCCACACCAGAGAGAAAGCCAGCAAAUAUUUAUACAAGUCUUUCUGGGGGUACUAGCAGGUGUAAGAGUGCCUUUAGGAAAUGCCUUGGUAAGAAAUUAUCAUCUAAACCAAAUCAUUUUGAAAGCCCAGAUCAUCAGCAAGUAAAAUACUCUGAUUAUAUACUGAAAAAAAAAAAAAAAAAAAUGGCUGUUGAUUUGACUGCUUUGUGUGCUCAGAGGGGCACUGCUAGGUUGGUCCUUCUUCCUGCUGUCUGUAGUGUACUCUUCACCUAAUAACUGAUCCAGAAUAUCAGACAGUUUGACUGGUGUUUGAUAGACUUCUGCUGCUGUAGUAUUGUUGAACAGGGAAAAUAGAUGGGUGAGCAGUUAUUUAGGCUUGUGAGUGCAUUCUGGAUAUGCAAUUUGGAUGUCUAUUUAGUGCCUAAAGUACAUGUACUGAGGCAGGGUGCAAAAAGUGAUAAAUCACAGGAUGGCAUAUUCUGGUUUUGUAGCACAGACAAAAGAGAGAACUUCUUUUCCAAGUAGAUUUGAAAGUUAGUGAACUGGCCACCUACAAAAUUCCAUGACAUGUCAGCCAGAAUGGGUUCCUCUGUGAAGAGUGCUAACUCACCUGUCUUCAGUUCAUAGGACUAGACAUUUUCUUCUAGCUACUAGUGAGGCUUCUUGCUGAUCAUAAAAUGACUCAGGAAAGAAUGUGGAAACAAGACUUCAAUUGUACCCUUACCUUUGACAGAACAUGGUUGCCUUUAUUGAUUGAUGUCAGAUGAGUUAGCAAACCUAGUAUUUUCAGUUACCUAGAUACUGAGUUAAUUAAUGGUAAGAAUCUUACAAGUUGCUUUUUUACCAUUUUCAUAAAAUUCCAACCUUUUUGCUUGGUAUGCAUUGCAUUUUAAUCUGUGAUAAAUAGUUUUGAACAGUGAGAUCUGCAUUACCUUACUCUGUAGAAAUAGUCUAUUGCUUUUCUGAUCCAGCCUUUCUGCUUCCUAAAAAUGUUACGUCAUCCUCUAAGUCCUACUUUGUCAGUGAGCAAAAGAUCCUUUUUUUCCACCAAAUAAAUCUAUUUUGUAUCUGCUAAUUUUAAGACUUAGGCUGAGCAUUGUCCCUAGAGUAUGGAGUAGACUGACUGGAGAAAUCUUCCUGGGUUGCCAAAGCUUUCAUUUCGUGAACAUGAUAAAAUUAGACACUGCUUUAAGUGAGAAGUCUGUCACUUCCCUUCCUCUCCCACAGUCUUAGUUCCAUAAUAAGCUUCAAGCCCAGUGUAGUGUUGUGAAAGUCAGGCAGGUGUGCAGUUACCAAAGCUGAUACGUUAACACCUGCAGGAAAAAUACAGGUUAAGAUCCUGUAAUAAUUUUGAAAAUUGUUGUGGUUUGAUGGAUAUUCACAGUGAACAGGCAAAACCUGAGCUUUCUCGGUGUUGCCUACACUGCAGAAUGCAUAUAACUAGUGAGAUCCUGAGCUGCUGGGAACCCUGUUAAAGUCUCCUGUGAAUAAGGUGAAGGACGAUACUUCACAUUGGCAAAAUGACAUCCAUACACAAUGCUCUUGUGCUUGAUGCACAAGACCAAAGAUCAAAGAUGCACAAGUUCAAAAGACUCCUGGAUCUUUUUCCUUUCUUCUUUAUCAGCCACCUUUGGUUUGCCUUGUGAUGAGUGCUUUUCAGAAAUGCUCUUUUUCCAUGGUGCUGGAGGAGUUGACUAGAACCUAAUCUCAUUUGGCCAGUGUGGUUAGCCAAGGGCUUGCCGUUGCUAGUCAGCUCAGUCUUAACACUGACCUUACCCUAGGCUCUUUAAUCUGUCAGGCUGUCAUCUCCAAUGGCGUGAGUUAGGAUCUGUUUGCCCGGCUGAUUGUUGCUAAUUUCCUGCUAGCGAGUGAAUCAAAAUCUUAUUCUGACAAAGAAGGUUCUUUAAUGUUGUUGUUUAUGCAGACAAAUAGUUAAAAUUUCACAUAUAAAAGAUUAAAUAUUGUAAUUGCAUAAUUAGAAAAAAUGUUACAUGAUUUAACAUAGCAUUUUUCUAUUUAUAUAAGUGACAACUAAUGGUUUCUUUUUUUCUCCUAGCUUUGGGAAAGAUUCUUCAACUUUGUAAUUUUAAAACAUUUUCUCCUACACAUGUCAUUGUUCUUUUUAAUAGGAUCUGCCAGAACAACUCUGAGCAAAAGCUCUGCAUUUUCACAUUAUUAUCUCAUUGUCUAUCCCUAGUGUUAUAGCCUUACUGUG